rnacentral:lncRNA from 1 species
CUUUAGCCUUGGGCUCAACAACAUUAAUUCCUAAUCUCUUCUCUUUCUUUUCCUAUUUUUAGAAGGGUCGCUCUCUCACUUUGUUGAGGAGAGCCUUUGUGGUUAUGGUUGUGGUCACUUUCUCAUUUUGAAGAGUAGAUCUUUAGCAAAGGUUAUGACUUACUACUCACCUCAUAUCUUAGAGUGACAAUUGUUGCAAAUUUGAGGUGGCGAUUUUGUGGUUUGUGUGCUUGUCAAGUGUUGAUGCAUAAAUCAGCGAGGACUUUGGUACAACAGAAAAUGUUGAGUUUGUGACCUUCGCUAGA